UUGGAAGCUAGAAAGAAGUUAACUUUGAUAUAAAAUUAGCUGCACAUCCUUUUGCUGAAGUUAAAAAUAAACCCUGUAAAUGUUUUCCCAAGGUAUUUUGACUGAUAUGUUAUCAGACAAUGCCUGUUUACCUUUGCACUUAGAUAUUUAAGGGAUUUUAGGUUCAAAACAAUGGUGAAAUAUCCUACUUUGUGAAGUCUUCACAUUCAUAGAGGCAUUUGGGAGGGAUAUGUGUCUUAGAGAUAAAAUAAAUCUUUAAUUUAAUCAGACAGAAAAUAACAAAAACAUUUACUUAAUCAGAUCAUUACAAGACAGAGUAUCUUAAUCGAUAUCUGCAUGGUCAAUAUCGUAAGUUGAACAGGAAAGUGCGGUGGAGUAUCGCUGCAGGGUUACUAUGGUGACGUUGUUUCCUUCCGUCCCCGCUUCACUCAUAUAAAGCCUUCGAGAGGACAAACCCAGCAGAAAAGCCAAAGGCAGUGGGGUGGUUUAUCAGUCGUUUUAGGAAGGAAGAGCAAACAUCGCACCUGCCCUCGGGAGUAGUUUGGAGCUGCUCAACACCGGCUCAGGUUCAGGACCAUGCGACACAUUUACAUUCACUGAGAGACAGCAAGAGGUGUUUUCACUCUAGAAACAACAAUCCCUUUCAUAUCAACAGGAACUGUACACAUUUAACCGUACGCCAAGAGAAAUCACAAUACCUGGGCUAUUACAGCCACAUCCAAAUAUAAAGUGACAGCUGAUUGUGAGGAGUUACCGGACAAAAUGACUCCCGUUCAAACCUCAGUCAAAGGCUUCUUCACUUUCCAGCUGCUUCUUAAUUUCUUCUCAAGUGGUAAGUUCGGACGUUCAGUCAUGAGUUCACUGCACUUUUUAAACUAUUUCGACUUUAAUUACUGAAGAAGAGAAUUGAGAAACUCUCAAUGAAGAAUGGAAGAAAUUACUAUUAUUGUGAGUAAUGAAUUGGAUGGGAACAAAUAUGAUGUCUUUUGAUACAGUGAUGACUUUUUACAGCGUUUUUGUACUAGUAAAAGUACAGAACUUAUCUGAAGGCAUUGCAUUGAUGUGAUUUUAUAGAUGUUCAUUGUAGAAAAUAUUAAAAUGUAAUAAUUUAAAAUAAGGUAAUCUGCUUUGAUGUCAUUUGAUAUGUUUUUCAAAACCAAAUGAGCUGCCUAUACCUUUACACAGAUUGUUUGGUGCAGCAUUUUGGGGAUCAUAUGUGCCUAAUGGAUUGUAAGAACCCAUUUGGGGGUCCCAGAUUUUGUCUAGGUGUGCAGCUCACUGGGUUUUGAGACCCAGUCAUCAGCACUCUGUAUUCUGGCAAUAGGGUAAACGUAUUAAGCUCACCAAAAUCUACACUGAGACAUUUUCAGAGCACAAGAUAUUGGUUUCAGUACAAAAAGUUAUGUUAAGAUAAAAGAUUAAUCUCAGUUUAAUUUUAUUUUAAAUGACAAAAGCAUUUCAAUUAAGAUAUACAUCAUUAAAUGCAAAAAAGUCUGUCUGUGCUUAAUGGGUACAUGUUUGUACCCUUUAAGCACAUCCCUGUUCCCAUUAAGCUCACAUCAUGUUUUAUUAAAAAUUCUUGUUUAUUUUAAACAACCUUUUUAAAGAACAAUUGAAUUUUAAUUUUUGUAAUUGUACAAA
rnacentral:lncRNA from 1 species